CUAAUACCGCACGAGGUCUACGGAUCAAAGCCUUCGGCGCCAGAGGAUGAGCCUGCGUCGCAUUACCUAGUUGGUAGGGUAAUGGCCUACCGAAGGGGACGAUGCGUAGCUGGUCUGAGAGGAUGAUCAGCCACACUGGGACUGAGACACGGCCCAGACUCCUACGGGAGGCAGCAGUGGGGAAUAUUGCGCAAUGGGGGAAACCCUGACGCAGCCACGCCGCGUGGGUGAUGAAGGCCUUCGGGUUGUAAAGCCCUGUCGGGAGGGACGAAUUCAUGACGGUACCUCCAAAGAAAGCACCGGCUAACUCCGUGCCAGCAGCCGCGGUAAUACGGAGGGUGCGAGCGUUGCUCGGAAUUACUGGGCGUAAAGCGUACGCAGGCUGCCUUGUAAGUCGGGUGUGAAAGCCCGGGGCUCAACCCCGGAAAUGCGCCCGAGACUGCAGGGCUUGAAUGCGGGAGAGGAUAGCGGAAUUCCUGGUGUAGAGGUGAAAUUCGUAGAUAUCAGGAGGAA
rnacentral:rRNA from 1 species